UCAUAAUUUUGAUAAAAUUUUAAUAUAAUAAUCGUUAUUUUUAGAUUAUUUUUUAAAAAUAGUAUAUAAAAGAGAAAAAUUUUUCCCCAUAUUAACACAUAAUUGUUACAAAAAUGAAUACAAAUUUCUAUCUUUUAGGAUAUUUAUAUACUUUGAUUAUUAUAUUGAUGUUAAGUCAAAUAUUUAUGGGAUGUCCCAACUAUAUCUUUGAUCCAAAUAGCGACGAACUACGCAGACAGCGCACUUAUUUAGAAAUAUUUGGUGAGAGUAGAUUCUGCCACGAUUAUUGCACUUCAAAUGAAUAUUUCUGCUGUAAAUGUCCGUAAUUCUGUCAGAUUUUAUAUAUAUACAAAAUAAAAUUUGGAGAAUUUAUAAAAGAAAACUUUUAUUAUAUAAAUUAUUGCAAUGAUAACUAUGUUUUAUAAAUAGAUAAAUUAUUGAUUAAUUAUUUUUAAUAACAAGUUGGUAUUAUUUUAUACUAUAUUUGGUACCCCUAACAACGACAGGAGCAUGAACCAUAAUACGCACCUUUGUCAGUAGAGGUAUACUUUUAUUCUAUGGGAUUAGUUUAUUUUAAAAUAUUCAUAAUCAUCGCCACCCUAAUAUUUUGUAUUCGCUAUUGCUAUUAUAAAUUUUAUUUUGGUAAGCUUAGAGAAAUAUCCUUAAUAAAGUAAGUAUUCAUAGGAGCUGGCGUAAAAUAAUAAAUAUUUUUUCUAUAUUAUAAUCUAAUAAUAUAAAUAUAAAAUUCUAUUUUGUUAAUUUUUGGUGUUAAGGUACAAUUUUAAUGUAAUAGAUUAAAUGGAUAAACGAUUUUUGUAAAAGUAAUAUAUGGAUAUAUUAUUUUCUUAUUUGUAAUCAUAUAAUAUAUUGUUAUAUAUUAUAUAAAUCACUUCAUUUCAUUAUAUAUUCCAUUUUUUUAAAAGUAAAUCAUUUUUAAUUGUUUUAUUGUUUUUCUUCUACAGUUUAAUAAACUAGUUCAAUUGCA